rnacentral:rRNA from 1 species
UACGUAGGGGGCUAGCGUUGUCCGGAAUCAUUGGGCGUAAAGAGCGUGUAGGCGGUCCGGUAAGUCCGUUGUGAAAGUCAAGGGCUCAACCCUUGAAUGCCGGCGGAUACUGUCGGGCUAGAGUCCGGAAGAGGCGAGUGGAAUUCCACGUGUAGCGGUGAAAUGCGUAGAGAUGUGGAGGAACACCAAUGGCGAAGGCAGCCUUCUGGGCCAACACUGACGCUCAUGCACGAAAGCGUGGGGAGCAAACAGG